ACACAAAUGGAAAGCUAAAUAUUUCUGCUCGAGGAAAUUCUUGCGAAGCUGAACAAUGUCAUCUACACAAUUAAUGAGAGAAUAACUGCACAGAGAAACCGUAAACCUCCAAACUCUAUAAAUUUAAUAAUACCACUUGGCACCCACAAACUCAAUUUUUUUUCUUAAAAAAAAUAAUCAGCCCACAUAGGAUAAAAAGACCUAGAAAUCUUCUGAAAUUCAAAUGUUCUUGAUUUCCCAGAAACAACUCCAUAGAACCGUAAAAUCCCUGAAGAAUCCUAUCACCUCAAAAUCUGAACAUCAUCACCCGUUAUAAUUUUCUUUCACCGACCUCAAGACUGGCUGACAAAAUCCCGAAAACAGAAGAAAAAAAUCAAUGAAUUUACAUAGUGGCAACCCAAAACCCAGAAAAUCUUAAGAGAGGACACACCCUUCACCACCGCUAAUUCCAUUCUCAUUCAUAUCCAUCAUCCAUCCACCGCAGAAGCUGGAAAAAAAUGUUAAUUUGUAUUUCAAUCCCCGCCAAAGUCAAAUGCUUUGUUUUUCUCUGCUACUAAUCCCACGCCAUCUACCUCUGCCUCCCUUUUCACUCACCGGAACCCUUUAGUUCUCUCCAAAAAAUUUUGUGGGUUUCUUUCGAUUUCGAAUUCUUCAGUUCCUCCUUCACCGGGAGCUUUAUGACGUGGUUGAGGUGGUCAUGGGUUUGGGUGGGAAGCCACUAGCGAGAUUUCCAUCUGGGGACUUUGUUUUAUCGGAUUGUCCCAUCACCCUUUAGGGUCCCCAGCAUGCUACUUCACAGGUAUUCAUAAAGGAAGUAGAAAAUCAUAUGCCCCGAGUGAGUGUGAUAGAUGAAAUCGGGACAAAACUUGAAGCAAUGGCUGCGAGUACAAUUGCACAGCAUGGGAUUCAGCUAGUGGCCACUACUCAUGGAAUCACAAUAGGAAUUUGAUAAUGAAUCCUUCUCUGGAGAUGCUUGUUGGAGGAAUAAAAUUGACAUGAUUUUUUAGAAGAAGAUUAGUAAUUGGUUUACUGUCAUUUGUUAUAUUACAAGUUGCUCGUUCAUCAAUAUCACUGUUAUGGUAGAUCAAAUAACUAAUCUAGCCUUGACAUAAUCAAUAUUUUUUUCUUACCUGAUGAAACCAGUCCUUAUUGGUAAGUCCAUAAAAUUGAGCCAAUCAGCUAUAGCUUUGUUUGACAUCAGUUCUGAAAGCAAAUAACCAGUUCUUUAGCACUAGUUAAACUGAUUAAUUUAUUGUCCCACUGCUUAGAUGAACUUUGUAUUUUACUUGUAUGAUGCUAAACUACUCAAGCUCAGUUCCAGAUAGGCUCAAUAAAACUCGAGAUGAAUAGCAACACAGAUGAACCAAGUUUUGGCAGCUUAAGGCUUGGCUCAACCUGUUAAAGACCUUUUGAAGUGUGUCUGCAGUAAUAUUGAUCGAAGUAUCCUCUCCCUCCUUUUGUCUUUCUAGCAUGUUUUCCCAUUUUAUUUCCGCCACCCAACCUAACAAAAUGGUCAUGUCUCUGUAACUGAAUUGAGGAGAAAUUAUUUCCAACAAGUAAAACAAAAAAUGAGGUGUUUACAAGCACACACACAAAAACAGAAUUGACAUCAAUUAUUUUAUUUGAAUAGAUGUGUCUUCUGCUUGCAAUCAUAUGAUUUGAUUUUUCAGAUUUAUUGUUGGGAUUUGAGUUCAAUUCAGAUCGAACACGAAAAGUUAAAAAGUUUUGGAUGCCAACUAUUUUAAUUGGUAAAGUUAUCUGGCAGGGGGUCAAGAGAUCAGAGAUCAAAUUCCACUUCAACCAGAGUUAGAAAAGGCUAAACUACUGCGAGGCGUGACACUUGAGUGUUAAUGUGUUACUGAUUGCAUCAAAGUGUUUCCACAUGGCAAAUCAGGGAAAAUGUCAGAGCCUCAUAAAUGACUUUUCGAAAACAUAUUAAGGGCCUAAGGACACAGGCAGCAGUGGUAAAGACAAGAGUGUGACACUAUGGGAUGAAGAAGCAAACCGAAGGGAUGUCCAGAAGAUGGUGAUGGAGAGGAGAGGGCCUUCAACAUUUAGUUAUGUGGUGGAGAUAAUUUCAAAGACUGAGUUGCAAGUUCAUCGCAGUCUAGAAGCAACACUGUAUGCUAUUUGGUCGUUCCCCAUAUGUGGAAGUUUGCAAGAUGACCUCUCAGUGAGUAGAAGAAACUGUAGAAAAUGAACCUGCCUUGAAACAUAUGCUGAAAAGAAAGAUGACGUUUUGGUUGAAGAUUUCCACUUGAAAGAUGAAAGGAUUGGUCAUAAUGAGUUCACUUCUGAAUCUCAUCUGGACAUGGGAGAUAAUUCUUUGGAACAUGAAGUACUGCUUCGCCUUUAUAUCUAUAGGUGUGAAAAAUACUGGAUAUGGAACUUACAUAAAGAGGAUACAAAAUUGUCAGACAAGAUCAAUGCCCUGGAGGUAAAAGUUAAAUUUCUUCUUUCAGUUGUGUUUUUUGAGUAUUUAUUAUUGAUUAAUCUAUUUUGUGAAUUGAGUGCAUUAACGAUGGUUUAUGUUUAUAAGGGAAGGGAAGAAUUCGUGGAUCACAAAACAGAGAAAGUCUAACCUAAAAUCAUCUCAAAUAUUAUGCAAUUAAAAUCCUAUGAUUCUAAGUUGAACUUUAUAGCUGUACAUUGUUACGGAAGCAUAGGUUUAGCCUUUACAUUCGUAUAAUUCCUAAACUACUGUGUAUAUAAUAUAAUACAUAAUUCUCAUCAAUGAAAUGUGUGGGAAAUAAUUCAUUGAAACUACUGCAAUAUUUGUUUCUUUAUAUGGUAUCAGAAGAGCCACACUCUAUCGAGCAAACAAUCCAUAUCUCCAUUAUAACUCCCUUCUCCUAUCAAAAUCCAAUUUUUAUUCUUAACACUUAACCUCCUUUCGCAACAGAUAAAACACUCAUUGCUCUCAACAUCACUGCCCAAAUCAAUGAAAACUUAACUCCCUCCUUUUUUCAACGGCGUGCUCAAUUUGAAGCACUCCUUAUAGGUUAUGAUUUACUCUAUUAUGCUAUUUACUCUAUUAUGAUCGAAGGUGCUUUUCGGUGCCCCUCUUCCGCUGUUGAUGAGUUCCACAUCUUUUCUAUAUGCUAGCUUGAAAAAAGCUAAAAACCUUACACGCUACCUGAGUAAUAACUAGUUCUAUGCAGUUGAAAGAGGAGCUCACCUUAAUCCAGCAUGGCCCAUGCAGCGUGGCAAUCGGUCGAUCACAAACUAUCUCCACGCUGUAAAGGCCUAGGCUAAUGAAAUCGCAAUCAUUGAACACCUAAUAUCGGAUAAUGACUUAAGCCUCUGUGUUGAAUGAUUUAGGUACAGACUUUCAGGAAAUAGCAGCACCAGCUUGAACCAGGGAGUCAUCACUGGCCUUUGAGGAGCUGCAUGGUAUUUUUGGGGGACAUGAGGGGUUUUAUCACUUGCUGUCAUGAAUGGAUAGGGUUUAAGGCAAAUGGAUGCACACAAUGCAUUUCAAAAUGGUGAAUUAACUGAAACUGUGCUUAUGGAGCAGCCCCCAAGGUUUAAAGAUUUGUCUAAACCUAAUUAUGUUUGCAGGCUAAGACUAGGGCCUUAAAUAAGCCCCACGGGCUUGGUACACAACACUUAGAAAUGCCAUUCUUCGGUUGGGUUUUCACAGUUCCAGGGCUGUUAGUUCUGUUUUCAUUGACAUCCAAGGAUCGUACCUGGUUUAUGUUGAUGUUGAUGAUCUUGUAAUUACAGGGAAUAAUUCAUCCUUUGUGGCAUCUGUUAUUCAACAAUUGGGUGCUAUGUUUUCUCUCAAAGAUAUGGGUUCUCUUUAUCUCUUCUUGGGAGUUGAAGUGAUUCCUA